ACACACACACACACACACACACACACACACACACACAGAGCGGAUUUCUGUCAUGUGGAAGUCAAAGGCCAGCUCUGUGACGUUGGUGCUCUUCAUCCAUCUUUCCGUAGGUUCUCGGGAUCCAACCCAGGUUGUCAGGCCCUGUGGCAAGCGCUUUGCUGGCUGAGCCCUCUUGCCAGACCAACUGUCAGGAAGUUUUAUCAACCAGGUGGGCGCUUUGGCGGUCUGCUUGCUUCAUGGAAGUGAACCUAACUCAGGCACUCCCGGUUGUGUCGAGGAUUUAACCCAGGGUCUCGCAUUCAUCAGACUACCGGAUGCAGAGUCUAUCUCCCUGACAUCUGCUUUCUGCAUUCAACCUGACCUGGAGCAAAGGUCUAACUGCAUUCAGGCCCAGCCAGUUUCUUACAGGCAACAGCCAGCUCACUCUCAAAACCAAGGAAAUGUUUGAAUCCGGCAGAAGGCCUCUCCUGGACACCUCGAGGCUGUGGCCUUCAUUCAGGCUCCUUGGAGAAGGUGCUAGCUGGUCAUCUAGGUAGCACUCCAAGGGAGCCUCCAUCUUGCUUCUGGCAUUCCAUCAGACCGCAGGGAAGUCAGCCAGGAGGACGAUGGCAUGUUGGCCUUCAGAACUGGAAAGAAGGUUUUUUCUUUUUUUUUUUUUUUUUUGUCCCCUUGGAAAU
rnacentral:lncRNA from 1 species